CCUAUGCAAUUCUUUUAUGACACUCCGUGUGCCCACUGAAGCCAGUUACCGAGCUAGAUCGGUUUGUAGUAGGAUGGGAACUGCUGGAGUUGCAUUAAAGCGUGUUUCUCUCACAGUGCAGCAGCACGGUUAGAAUAUCCAUAAGCACGGAGCCCUCUGGACGUCCUGGAUGCAGGACAAGCACUCAGGGCGUCCGGGAGUGCUCGUGCGCCUCUCGGUUCCCACACCCGGGCAGGUACUGACUCGCUGCUGUGUUUUCUCGGCCCGAGGAGGCACAACGAUCCCGUUUGCAGCCUUUCGGACUCUUGAGCUACUGGGCUUUAAACCUGCCGCUCGGCCAGAGGAAGUCGGAUGAAGGCAGAGGAGGAACCGGGGAGGGACCCCCGCUCUCCGCCAGCCCACCGGGCACAGGGCGACGGCGCUGCCCAGCGUAGCCCCAUCCUUCGUCUUCGGCCCUGCGGCAAAACAUCGCCGCGCCCACGAGGAGCUUCCCACGGGAGACGUGCUGCGCAGCGCCCAGGGCUUCUGCCGGGGGCCGUGCUCUGCUCGCAGCCGGGGGCUCCGGCUGGCCACGGGGCCGGCACAUGCGGUGGGACCUCCCCGCUCCCUCCACGCCCCGCUGCGGCGGAGACGAGAGGGGUGGGGAAGGGGCAGAGAACUGUGAGGACAGAUUCGCUACGGGAAUGAGGGUCUUGGAGGAAGCCUCUUGACAUCACCCAAGGAUCGCCGUUAGCAGCGGCUGGCACGCAAAUACUGGUACCCGGGAUCGCAGAAGGUUCCUGUGCGAGAGCAUCUUUCCGCUAGACAUGAAGGAAUAUCAGCAGGCAGUGGAUGGUGAGAAACCAAAAUUGCACUGCCAGGGAGAUCUGCAGAAAAAGAAUCUCUGUUUUUUUGGCACAUGAACAAAACCCUCGGCAAUAACGGCGCCGACAGGAAGGGGAGCUGGACUCGCCAGCCCCCUGCCCCCACCGAGGACGGCUGGCGUAGCGCAACGUGGGCGACCCACGCAGCCAGUGGGAGCUGCAUCCCCGCAGGAUGGCAGGGAGAAGCCUCUCAGCGGCUCGCAAACCGAUACCGCGUCGGUAAGAGAUGGCAGCUCCUCAUGCCAAAGGGAAGCCUCGGCGGGUGGCACAGGAUCCGCUCCAGGGGAAGUGGUCCAGGAAGAGCCGAGGAGAGCCAGGGUUUGGUACCCUUGAGAUGUCAUACAGCUCCUAACGCUUCUUAUCCUAAUGAAGCAGGACACCAUUUUCCCAAAGGACUGAAGACAGCCGAAUCCCUCACAGAACAGUGGCUUGAAUCAGCAUCAGAGGAGGAUUUCACUGGGAACUUUAUGCUAAUUUAGAAUUAGCACAAUACCAAAUAUAGCAAGAAGGUUUUUAUAAUCAGUUUAAUUUGAUGCAAUUUAAAGAGAAAGAAGCAUUGAAUGAUGCAGCAAAUAAAGUCUACUUUUCAAGGUGGUCACUACAUUCCCUCCUUGUCUCAUACACACCCAAAAUAAUUCAGUACUGUCCUCAGAGGAAUUGGUUGACCAUCUCAAAUAAUUCCCACACAUUACUCCAAUUACUGCAAGCUUGAUUCAGGAAACAGAAGAAAAGGAGCUAACCCUGCUGUUCCAUCUUUAGAGUAAAAAGAAACUAUUAGAUACAAAUACUCCAGGUCCCGCUAAAGUAUUUAUAAACAUGGGAGCACUAAGAUGCUUAGAAUGGCAGUGGGAGGAGGGGAAAAAGUAUAAAAUAUUUAUUCCUCUAAGCAUUUAAAAAACCUUAGGACCUUAAAGUUUAUUACUGUUUGUGAUUUGCAUACAUAAUAAAUGCUACGUCCCCCAA